rnacentral:rRNA from 1 species
AACGCUUCUUUUUCCACCGGAGCUUGCUCCACCGGAAAAAGAGGAGUGGCGAACGGGUGAGUAACACGUGGGUAACCUGCCCAUCAGAAGGGGAUAACACUUGGAAACAGGUGCUAAUACCGUAUAACAAUCGAAACCGCAUGGUUUUGAUUUGAAAGGCGCUUUCGGGUGUCGCUGAUGGAUGGACCCGCGGUGCAUUAGCUAGUUGGUGAGGUAACGGCUCACCAAGGCGACGAUGCAUAGCCGACCUGAGAGGGUGAUCGGCCACAUUGGGACUGAGACACGGCCCAAACUCCUACGGGAGGCAGCAGUAGGGAAUCUUCGGCAAUGGACGAAAGUCUGACCGAGCAACGCCGCGUGAGUGAAGAAGGUUUUCGGAUCGUAAAACUCUGUUGUUAGAGAAGAACAAGGAUGAGAGUAACUGUUCAUCCCUUGACGGUAUCUAUCCAGAAAGCCACGGCUAACUACGUGCCAGCAGCCGCGGUAAUACGUAGGUGGCAAGCGUUGUCCGGAUUUAUUGGGCGUAAAGCGAGCGCAGGCGGUUUCUUAAGUCUGAUGUGAAAGCCCCCGGCUCAACCGGGGAGGGUCAUUUGGAAACUGGGAGACUUGAGUGCAGAAGAGGAGAGUGGAAUUCCAUGUGUAGCGGUGAAAUGCGUA